ensembl:lncRNA
GUAUAAUUGCAUAUUUCUUCUGACCUAAGUGUGACUAUUUUAGACAUUCACUGUGGUAAUAUCAUGUGUCAUGAUAUAUAUUAGGGCUUUCAAUAGAUUAAACAUUUUAAUCAUGAGUAAUUACGCAAUUUCACAUGAUUCAGUAAAUUUGUGUUAACUGCAUUAAAUAUUUUGAAUCAAUCAUGUGUUAACGUUAACAGCCCUAAUAUGUGUGUGUGUGUGUGUGUGUGUGGUUUAUUUUUACAUCACUUAGCACCUUAUUUUAUUUUAAUUCAAUUUUAAUUUUAUUGUAAUAAUAUUUCUCUUUCCUUUCACUUGUUUUGUAUGAUAAUACAAUAAUAAAGCUUUGGCAGUAUUGUAUGUAUAAACACAAUCGUUCCAAUAGAGUAAAGUUAAAAAAAAAAAAAAAAAAAUCAUGGUAUCAUGGUUUAUAUCGAAGUGUUUUCAUGUAAUUUUUGUUCUUCAUUUAAACUGAUCUUGUUUAAAGCAUAUUCAUUUAUUUUAAAGAGGGAAAAAAAAAAACACCUGUCACACCAAAAGCUGAGCUGUAAGUGCCAUUCUGAUGAUUUGACUUCCUGUUGAAACAUUAAAAAAUGAAUAAACAGAAAAGGCAAACACAAGCGUGCUAAAAGGCAUCACUUCUACAAACACAAAAACGAAGACUGACAAGAUGAGGAAGAGACCAGAGGGGAUGAAGAAAAAUAUCAGAGUGGUUUUUGGCAAAGCAGCUCUUAAGUAAAGCAAACACGGUCCGUCUGAGCAGAACCAUCUGUGGAGAGCGAGCGCUGGCAUCUGGAGCCGAAUAAAACGCCUGCUAAUAGAAAUAAUAACCAGCAGGGUCUUCCAUAAAGCCUCUGCUUAGGAGCUCCAGUCUUGUAAGAGUCUGCCAGGCGGCCCAUGUCACCACCCUGACACGGGGAUGAUGGGAUGAACGUAUCCUGGUUCUGCCAAACGCACCACUCGGGUAAAGUUGCCAUGUUGGUUUUGGCACCGCGCCCCCGAAGUCAGCGACUGGACCAUCCACAAUCUGGGCACAGGACUCCCGUAUGGCACGGAAAAGCUUGCUCGCUCCAUCACGCUCUUCUCAGUCCCUCAAAGUGUCUGUCUGCCAUGGUGGGCUGAACGGCAAGGGCUUCACACUCGUCUGAUGAAUGAGAACGGACGGAACGCAGUGAAAACAGAAAGACAGACAUCAGAAUCAUAACUCAACAUCAACACAAAUCCGGUUAUUACAAAGCGACUACGCCCUUCUCCGAAUGAACAGCCUUGACAAGAACAGCCUAAGUCCAAGAGAAGGGAAGAAACACAAGGGCUACAAGAUAAGACAGAUGUUUGAGAACAUGUCAUGAUACUGAUAAUGAAAAAUCUAUUGUUAAAUUAUUUCAUAUUUUAUAUUUCCAUUUUUAUUCAUUCAUAAACACCAUGACUGUCAACAGAGGACAAAACAAUACCAUAAAGGUAGUCUGCAGAUCUCUAUAUACCAAGUCUUCUCGCGUCCUAUGCUAGUAUAUAUGUGAACAUAAUGAAAUUUGAAUCAUCAUUUACGUCAUAUGGACUACUUUUAAAGUUCUUUGCUAAUGCUGCUUCCAAGAACCACUGAAGAACUUAAUUUUUAAGAGCAUAUAGACUGUACCACCAG